UUAGAUCGCUGAACGUGGGGGCGUGAGCGUACGCGCUGACGUCAUCCACCCUCCAACAUGUUUUGGACUCCACUUCCCAGAGUUCUCUCCCAUUGGCGAGCCCAAGCAGAGGCUUCUGGGAGUUGGAGUCCCAAAACCGCUGAACGGGGAACGCUUGGUCCAAUGGGGAAACCGCUCUCAAGGCGUCAGGAGAGCAGGAGGCCUGGAUGGGCAGGGCGCCAUUUCUUGUCCAUUGUGGGGGCCAAAAUGGCGCCUGCUCAAUCUUAAAGGUGAAGAGUCGUUUAAAUAGCUUAGAAUAAGGCAGAAAAGGAAACUCUGUAGGGGUGUUAGCUCUUCCUUAUUGCUAUCCAAAGCUAUUUGGCUGGAGUUGAACUUAAAAAAUGGAUGUGAACACCUGUGGAAUGUCCAGGUUUCCAACAGACCUCACAACCUCUGAGAAUGCUUGCCAUAGAUGUGGGCAAAACAUCAGGAGAGAAUGCUUCUAGAACAUGGCCACACAGCCCGGAAAACUCACAGCAAACCAGUGAUUCUGGCCAUAAAAGCCUUCAACAACAUAUCAGCAAUAUGUUUUAUAUACAGUAGAGUCUCACUAAUCCAAGCUAAACGGGCCGGCAGAAGAUUGGAUAAGCGAAUAUCUUGGAUAAUAAGGAGGGAUUAAGGAAAAGCCUGUUAAACAUCAAAUUAGGUUAUGAUUUUACAAAUUAAGCACCAAAACAUCAUGUUUUACGACAAAUUUGACAGAAAAAGCAGUUCAAUAUGCAGUAAUGUUAUGUUGUAAUUACUGUAUUUACGAAUUUAGCACCAAAAUAUCACGAUAUAUUGAAAACAUUGACUACAAAAAUAGCUUGGAUAAUCCAGAACGUUGGAUAAGUGAGACUCUAUUGUAUUACAAUAUAGUAAUUUAACGCUUAUAUUGUGCUAUGCUAAUAAUAUAUUGUAUGUACAUUUGAUUUGUAAGCCGCUCUGAGUCCCCUUCGGGGUGAGAAGAGCGGGAUAUAAAUGUAAUAAAUAAAUAAAUAAAUAAGUGUAUAUGA